rnacentral:tRNA from 1 species
GCCGGGGUGGCGGAAUUGGCAGACGCACAGGACUUAAAAUCCUGCGAUAGGUUCCUAUCGUACCGGUUCAAGUCCGGUCCUCGGCACCA